GACACGCCCUCUUCGGCCCUGGGAGUGAAGGGAGUGGAGGCGGAACCUGAAGUAGGUGCUAAGGCCGCGGAGGCUGGGAAUUUAGGUCGUUUUUGUUUGCUUUUUCAAUGGAGCUGACGAAUGUAGCUCAGGAUCUUGUAUGAAGUAGUUUUACGACAUUUACACUCUACCUGACCGGAAGCAGCACUUGGAGUUCCUGGGCCAGGGAUCAGAUUGGAGCUGCAGUUCUGUAGUUGUGGCAAUGCCGAUCCUUAAUCAUUGUGCCUGGCUGGAAUCAAACCUGCGCCCCAGUGCUCCAGAGAUGCCGCCAAUCUCCCCUUGCACCACAGUGGGAACUCCUGUUCUCGAGGCUGAGAAGUCCAGGAUCAAGGCUGUGGCAGAUUCAUUGUUGGGUGAGUACCCUCUUGUUUGUUCACAGAACCAUCACACAGAAAAAGAGAUAAGGGAUGGAUCUCUCUGGAGCCCCUUAUAUAAAGACACUAAUUCCAUUCAUGAGCUUCCAUCCUCAUGACCUAAUCACAUCCCCCAAGCCUCUCCUUUUAAAUCAUCACAUUAGAGUUUGCCAUAUGAAUUUGGGAGGGCUCAGAUAUUCAGUCUCUAGCAUUAGGGCACUAGAGAAAGAGGAGCAUCAGAGGACUCUUUCAAAUUCUAAUAAAAUCAAUCUUAGAUCAAGAUUUAGACAUUGGAGUUCCCAUAGUAGCUCAGUGGUUAAGGAACCCGAUUAGUAUCCAUGAGAACGUGGGUUCGAUACCUGGCCUUGCUCAGAGGGUUAAGAAUCCAGCGUUGCUCAACGUGAGCUAUGAUGUAGGUCGCAGACGUGGCUCAGAUCCUGCAUUGCUGUGGCUGUGGGCAGCUGCAGCUCCUAUUUGACCCCUAGCCUGGGAACCUCCCGAUGCUACAAGUGGGCACCAAAAGGACCAAAAAAAAAAAAAAAAAAGACUUAGAAGUUCAUUAUGUUCUCCUGAUCUUUUAUUUAAAAACUAAUCCUGUGAUUCGCAAGCUACAUAUAAGUUGGUUGGCUUUUCAUCUGUUUAUCUAUCUGUCUUCUCUAUUGAUGGUGGAUUGUAAACUCCUAGUUCAGUUUCUUUCAUGGUUUUACAAACACUGAAUUUUCCUACUUUUCCUUGAGUCAACUUUAGUAACAUUUGUAUUUGCAGGAACUUGUCAGUUGUUGUCUAAGUUUUCUAACUUAAUGGCAGAAAGUUGUCCACAAUAUUAUUUUAUUUAAAAAAUCCCUAUUGCACUUGUUAUAUCCCUUUUUUGAUUCCAAUAAUUUUCUAUUUUCCCUGAGCUUUUUCCUUAUCCGUUAUGUUAGUGAUUUUAUUUUGUCUCAUUUUACUAGUUUUUCUAAGCAACCAUCUUGAUGAUAGUAAAAUAACCAAAAAAAAAAAAAAAAAAAAAA
rnacentral:lncRNA from 1 species